UACGUAGGGACCGAGCGUUGUCCGGAAUCAUUGGGCGUAAAGAGCGUGUAGGCGGCCUUUUAAGUCCUGCGUGAAAUCCUGCGGCUCAACCGCAGACGGUCGUGGGAAACUGGAAGGCUAGAGUGCGGGAGAGGAGAGUGGAAUUCCCGGUGUAGCGGUGAAAUGCGCAGAUAUCAGGAGGAACACCAACGGCGAAGGCAGCACUCUGGGACGGUACUGACGCUGAGGAGCGAAAGCGUGGGGAGCAAACAGG
rnacentral:rRNA from 1 species